rnacentral:lncRNA from 1 species
CUCCUGUGGCAUUUACAGCUAAAUAAGGAAAACACCUUGUGCAAUCAGACCAAAUAAUCCUCUACUACACUCCAUCCAUCAUGACAGGAGGGAAACAAUGGGAGGCAGGACAAGUACGACCAAUCAUGUUUGGACAACCAUGCUAUAAAGUAAGCCAUACCACAAUAUGGCACUAUUAAAAUGAAAAUACAGCAAGCAAAAGACAAUGGCACUUUAAGCAAACACUAAGUUUGAUUAACAAGUCUCAUCCUUUCUCCCCCAAUCACAUAGCAACUCCUCG